CGGAGGCGCGGAGGGCGAACGGCGCGGGGGCGGGGGCGGCCAGGGACGGGGCGGCAGCCACUUCGCGCUGGUCCUCUCCCUCGUGGCUUAGGAGGCCGCGCCCGCCCGCUCUGCGGGCCGGGCCCGGCAGCACGGCUCUCGGGACAGCCGGGGCGGGAUGCAGCUCAGCUUCAGCUGCUGCGCCGGAGCAGGCGGCGGGUUCCUAUGGCAACGGCUGCGUCACUGGCCCUCGCCCCGCCCCCCGUACCCGCGUGGACCACGCGGCCAGCGCGCAAAGCAAAGCGUGUCUUAGGGCAGAGAACUAGGGUCUGAGGGCCUGACAACGCCGAAAGGAGGUCUGCAGGUGCCUGGAGAAGCCAGAAGAGGGUGCUAAAGUUACGAGAAAAUCUGACCCACCCACCAUGAGCACCCAGAACCAAGAGCCCGUCGUGGGGUAGACGCAAAAUCUGCUCAGCUUACCAUGCGCAGGGUGGAGAGCCCGCCCCCCAGCAGCCAGAAGAGGUAGAAGAGGGCAUGAAGGUGGAUGUUAUAGGUGAUGAACAGGACUACACAGUGCCCGAAGAGGCCGUAGCCCUGGAGAGGGUGAGAGAGCACCAUCACUUGGCUGGACAGGCCCUUGGCCCGGAGCUGGGUCUUUUAGCUUGCUGCUGCCUCCCACCCCGGGUCCGCCCCCUGCUCCUUCCACCCCGGGUGCGCCCCCUGCUCCUCCCACCCCGGGUCCGCCCCCUGCUCCUCCCACCCCGGGUCCGCCCCCUGCUCCUCCCACCCCAGGUCCACAGAUGGCAGAGAGCAGCAGACCUUCUCAGCCACCCCCAGGCUCGGCUCCUUACCAACAGUGCCAACAUCUGGAGCAUGGUGAUCUGGGCAUUACACAGGUAGGCGAGGAAAUAAAUGAAGGACGAGACGCCAAGCCAGUAUCCGAAGCAGGUGCCUAUGGCUGUGCCCAUGAGGGUGCCCUCCCGCUGUGGAGAGAGAGCCCUGACCUCAGCCUUACCCAGGGCCUUUUGUGCAGGGUUGCUCUUGCCUCCCUCUACCAGCCACCGUCUUCCCCAAGGCCUGGGUCCUGCUUACGAUAAUGGUGUCAGAAGUCUUCAUCCCGUGCAGGAGGAUGGCAACCAGUGUGAAGACCAGCAUGAGGGGUCCGUAGAGCUCGCCUGCGACUUUCUGUUGAUACAGUAACUCAUUCACUAGAGACUGCAACCCAGGCCUAGCUUGGUGGCCUCCCUCCCCCUGCUCAAAGUCACCCUCCUCACCUGGGGGAAGCUGACCAUCUUGAUAGGGAUCAUGGACUCCAGGAGCCUGGGAGAGGAGAGGG